CCUACGGGACGCAGCAGUGGGGAAUAUUGCACAAUGGGGGAAACCCUGAUGCAGCAACGCCGCGUGAAGGAAGACGGUUUUCGGAUUGUAAACUUCUGUUCUUAGAGAAGAAAGUGCGUGAGAGUAACUGUUCACGUUUCGACGGUAUCUAACCAGAAAGCCACGGCUAACUACGUGCCAGCAGCCGCGGUAAUACGUAGGUGGCAAGCGUUAUCCGGAUUUAUUGGGCGUAAAGGGAACGCGGGCGGUCUUUUAAGUCUGAUGUGAAAGCCUUCGGCUUAACCGGAGUAGUGCAUUGGAAACUG
rnacentral:rRNA from 1 species